GACGAACGCUGGCGGCGUGCCUAAUACAUGCAAGUUGAGCGAUGAAGAUUGGUGCUUGCACCAAUUUGAAGAGCAGCGAACGGGUGAGUAACGCGUGGGGAAUCUGCCUUUGAGCGGGGGACAACAUUUGGAAACGAAUGCUAAUACCGCAUAACAACUUUAAACAUAAGUUUUAAGUUUGAAAGAUGCAAUUGCAUCACUCAAAGAUGAUCCCGCGUUGUAUUAGCUAGUUGGUGAGGUAAAGGCUCACCAAGGCGAUGAUACAUAGCCGACCUGAGAGGGUGAUCGGCCACAUUGGGACUGAGACACGGCCCAAACUCCUACGGGAGGCAGCAGUAGGGAAUCUUCGGCUAUGGACGAAAGUCUGACCGAGCAACGCCGCGUGAGUGAAGAAGGUUUUCGGAUCGUAAAACUCUGUUGGUAGAGAAGAACGUUGGUGAGAGUGGAAAGCUCAUCAAGUGACGGUAACUACCCAGAAAGGGACGGCUAACUACGUG
rnacentral:rRNA from 1 species